rnacentral:rRNA from 1 species
GACGAACGCUGGCGGCGUGCUUAACACAUGCAAGUCGAACGGAAAGGCCUGCUUUCCCUUGUGGAUUGCGGGUACUCGAGUGGCGAACGGGUGAGUAACACGUGAGUGAUCUGCCCCCAACUUGGGUAUAAGCCUGGGAAACUGGGUCUAAUUCCCGAUAGGACUGCAGGGUGGUGCCUGUGGUGGAAAACGAUUUUCUAGUGGGUGGGGAUGAGCUCGCGGCCUAUCAGCUUGUUGGUGGGGUAAUGGCCUACCAAGGCGGCGACGGGUAGCCGGCAUGAGAGGGUGGACGGCCACAUUGGGACUGAGAUACGGCCCAGACUCCUACGGGAGGCAGCAGUGGGGAAUAUUGCACAAUGGGCGGAAGCCUGAUGCAGCGACGCGGCGUGGGGGAUGACGGCCUUCGGGUUGUAAACUCCUUUCGACCGCGAGGAAGCCACCUGGUUGGAAGGGUGGUGACGGUAGUGGUAGAAGAAGCACCGGCUAACUACGUG